rnacentral:rRNA from 1 species
UAGUGGCGCACGGGUGCGUAACGCGUAUGCAACCUACCUUCCACAGGGGGAUAGCCUUCCGAAAGGGAGAUUAAUACCGCAUAACAUCAUUUGAGGGCAUCCGAAGAUGAUCAAAGCUGAGGCGGUGGAAGAUGGGCAUGCGUGCCAUUAGCUAGUUGGUAGGGUAACGGCCUACCAAGGCUUCGAUGGCUAGGGGUUCUGAGAGGAUGGUCCCCCACACUGGUACUGAGACACGGACCAGACUCCUACGGGAGGCAGCAGUAGGGAAUAUUGGGCAAUGGCCGCGAGGCUGACCCAGCCAUGCCGCGUGCAGGAAGAAGGCCUUCUGGGUUGUAAACUGCUUUUAUCUGGGAAGAAAACGCUCCUGCGGGGGUAACUGACGGUACCAGAUGAAUAAGCACCGGCUAACUCCGUGCCAGCAGCCGCGGUAAUACGGAGGGUGCAAGCGUUGUCCGGAUUUAUUGGGUUUAAAGGGUGCGUAGGCGGCCCUGUAAGUCAGCGGUGAAAUCCCAGGGCUCAACCCUGGAACUGCCGUUGAUACUGCAGGGCUUG